GACGUAGGGGACGAGCGUUGUCCGGAUUCAUUGGGCGUAAAGCGCGCGUAGGCGGUUUGGCAAGUCGGAUGUGAAAACCAGAGGCUCAACCUCUGGCCUGCAUCCGAAACUGCCCCGACUAGAGGUAGGUAGGGGAGAUCGGAAUUCCUGGUGUAGCGGUGAAAUGCGCAGGAUAUCAGGAGGAACACCGGUGGGCGAAAGGCGGGAUCUCCU
rnacentral:rRNA from 1 species